AUGGCUUUUAAGGAUACCGGAAAAACCCGUGGAGCCGAAGGUGGCAAUUCACCGAAUUCGAAUCACCCUAAGGAGCCGCAACGUUAAAUCCCUGGAAAAGGUGUGUGCUGACUUGAUCAGAGGCGCGAAGGAAAAGAACCUGAAAGUGAAAGGACCAGUUCGAAUGCCUACCAAGACUUUGAGAAUCACUACAAGAAAAACUCCUUGUGGUGAAGGUUCUAAGACAUGGGAUCGUUUCCAGAUGAGAAUCCACAAGCGACUCAUUGACUUGCACAGUCCUUCUGAGAUUGUUAAGCAGAUUACUUCCAUCAGUAUUGAGCCAGGAGUUGAGGUGGAAGUCACCAUUGCAGAUGCUUAAGUCAACUAUUUUAAUAAAUUGAUUACCAGUUGUUAAAAAAAAAAAAAGAAAAAAAGAAAAAAACAA